GGAGAGGUGACCGAGUGGCUUAAGGUAACGGUUUGCUAAACCGUCGUGCGGGGUAAACCCGUACCCCGGGUUCGAAUCCCGGCCUCUCCG
rnacentral:tRNA from 1 species